rnacentral:ncRNA from 2 species
AGAAAGGAAAGCAGUCCGGUUUCGGAUUGAACGGGAAGGGAGUGGAAAGCUUCCGCCGUCCAGCGACUGUGAUCGGGACGAAAGCUCGAAAGAAGGUCACUGCCCAUCCGGGCGGGAAGACCGGAGCGAGUAGGAUGAACGAGAGCCAGGAGACCGGGUCCGAAACCCCAUCAAAC